CCUACGGGAGGCUGCAGUGAGGAAUAUUGGUCAAUGGACGAGAGUCUGAACCAGCCAAGUAGCGUGAAGGAUGACUGCUCUAUGGGUUGUAAACUUCUUUUAUAUGGGAAUAAAAUGUUCCACGUGUGGGAUUUUGUAUGUACCAUAUGAAUAAGGAACGGCUAACUCCGUGCCAGCAGCCGCGGUAAUACGGAGGAUCCGAGCGUUAUCCGGAUUUAUUGGGUGUAAAGGGAGCGUAGGUGGAUUGUUAAGUCAGUUGUGAAAGUUUGCGGCUCAACCGUAAAAUUGCAGUUGAAACUGGGAGGCUUGAGUACAGUAGAGGUAGGCGGAAUUCGUGGUGUAGCGGUGAAAUGCUUAGAUAUCACGAAGAACUCCGAUUGCGAAGGCAGUUCGCUGGACUACAACUGACACUGAGGCUCGAAAGUGUGGGUAGCAAACAGGAUUAGAUACCCGGGUAGUC
rnacentral:rRNA from 1 species